UGCAGUCGAACGGCAGCACAGGAGAGCUUGCUCUCUGGGUGGCGAGUGGCGGACGGGUGAGGAAUACAUCGGAAUCUACUCUGUCGUGGGGGAUAACGUAGGGAAACUUACGCUAAUACCGCAUACGACCUACGGGUGAAAGCAGGGGAUCUUCGGACCUUGCGCGAUUGAAUGAGCCGAUGUCGGAUUAGCUAGUUGGCGGGGUAAAGGCCCACCAAGGCGACGAUCCGUAGCUGGUCUGAGAGGAUGAUCAGCCACACUGGAACUGAGACACGGUCCAGACUCCUACGGGAGGCAGCAGUGGGGAAUAUUGGACAAUGGGCGCAAGCCUGAUCCAGCCAUACCGCGUGGGUGAAGAAGGCCUUCGGGUUGUAAAGCCCUUUUGUUGGGAAAGAAAUCCAGCCGGCUAAUACCUGGUUGGGAUGACGGUACCCAAAGAAUAAGCACCGGCUAACUUCGUGCCANCNGCCGCGGUAAUACNAAGGGNGCAAGNGUUACUCGGAAUUACUGGGCGUAAAG
rnacentral:rRNA from 1 species